rnacentral:rRNA from 1 species
AUUGAACGCUGGCGGCAGGCCUAACACAUGCAAGUCGAGCGAGCGGCUGACGGGUGAGUAAUGUCUGGGAAACUGCCUGAUGGAGGGGGAUAACUACUGGAAACGGUAGCUAAUACCGCAUACCAUCAGAUGUGCCCCGAUGGGAUUAGCUAGUAGGUGGGGUAACGGCUCACACAGGCGACGAUCCCUACCUGGUCUGAGAGGAUGACCCGCCACACUGGAACUGAGACACGGUCCAGAAUCCUACGGGAGGCAGCAGUAGGGAAUAUUGCACAAUGGGCGCAAGCCUGAUGCAGCCAUGCCGCGUGUGUGAAGAAGGCCUUCGGGUUGUAAAGCACUGUCAGCAGGGAGGCGUUACCCGCAGAAGAAGCACCGGCUAACUCCGUGCCAGCAGCCGCGGUAAUUC